rnacentral:rRNA from 1 species
GACGAACGCUGGCGGCGUGCCUAAUACAUGCAAGUAGAACGCUGAAGAGAGGAGCUUGCUCUUCUUGGAUGAGUUGCGAACGGGUGAGUAACGCGUAGGUAACCUGCCUUGUAGCGGGGGAUAACUAUUGGAAACGAUAGCUAAUACCGCAUAACAAUGGAUGACACAUGUCAUUUAUUUGAAAGGGGCAAUUGCUCCACUACAAGAUGGACCUGCGUUGUAUUAGCUAGUGGGUGAGGUAAUGGCUCACCUAGGCGACGAUACAUAGCCGACCUGAGAGGGGGAUCGGCCACACUGGGACUGAGACACGGCCCAGACUCCUACGGGAGGCAGCAGUAGGGAAUCUUCGGCAAUGGGGGCAACCCUGACCGAGCAACGCCGCGUGAGUGAAGAAGGUUUUCGGAUCGUAAAGCUCUGUUGUAAGUCAAGAACGGGUGUGAGAGUGGAAAGUUCACACUGUGACGGUAGCUUACCAGAAAGGGACGGCUAACUACGUG